UGGGGAAUUUUGGACAAUGGGGGGAACCCUGAUCCAGCAAUGCCGCGUGUGUGAAGAAGGCCUUCGGGUUGUAAAGCACUUUUGUCCGGGAAGAAAGCGGCUGGGCUAAUACCCUGGCUGGAUGACGGUACCGGAAGAAUAAGCACCGGCUAACUACGUGCCAGCAGCCGCGGUAAUACGUAGGGUGCGAGCGUUAAUCGGAAUUACUGGGCGUAAAGCGUGCGCAGGCGGUCUGUUAAGACAUGCGUGAAAUCCCCGGGCUCAACCUGGGAAUGGCGUGUGUGACUGGCAGGCUGGAGUAUGGCAGAGGGGGGUGGAAUUCCACGUGUAGCAGUGAAAUGCGUAGAGAUGUGGAGGAACACCGAUGGCGAAGGCAGCCCCCUGGGCCAAUACUGACGCUCAUGCACGAAAGCGUGGGGAGCAAACAGGAUUAGAUACCCCCGUAGUCC
rnacentral:rRNA from 1 species